GUAUGCCACCCUUACACACAAUGCUGCAUACUGUAGCUCUCAAUAUGUAAAGAAGAAUAUUACAACUAAGCUGAAGUAAAAAUAAAUGAGACGAGCUGUAGCUCGUCGGCUUUUUACGUUUGACUCUUGAACGAUAAACAUGUCUUUUAUUAUACGUCUCUUCACCCAUAAUUAUCAGUAAAUUCUAUUUAAAUCUAGUUGAUCCGUUAAUACAAUGUUGAAAUAAUAUAGAUUUAACAGUGGCGACGAGGAAAAACAGGUUAUUGACAAAUCCAAGUGGAUAAUUUUACACAAUAUUUAGCGACAUCAGCGUCACCGAGAGUAUAGUGCACAAUGCAUGCAACGGCAAAUUUUCUGUGGAAGUGAACAAUUGAUAAAAAUAAAGAGCCCUUUCAGCACGUGAGGGUAGAAAAUGAUGGUUUACGGAACGAUUUGUAGCUGACUGGCUUAUAGCAUGGUAUUCAAAGGGAUAUGCAUUCAUCUGGGAGAGAAAAAUCGAGACCGCUACUGCUUACAAAACGGAUAUUCGGAGGAAACAAGUAUGGAGGCUAUGGCUAUUCGAGAGCGGUUACUAGUGAGACAAAAUAGUCGAUUACGUGUGAAUAGUAUGAUAGGUGUGCCUAGCAUGCGUUCAGAUAUGGACAAAUAUUCCGAUACGUUAGUUUGUCUGGAAAAGAAGCUCAAGCAAAUGCUUUUGAGUUCUGUGAUUUCUUACGCUUUACAUUGUGUAGUGCUCUGAUUUGAGUAGUUAAUUUGAUCUAGUAAAUAUGUUGUAUAUAGCCUUUAUAUUUCUUUUUAAGGGGGGAGAAUUGUGGU